AACGAACGCUGGCGGCAUGCCUAACACAUGCAAGUCGAACGAGACCUUCGGGUCUAGUGGCGCACGGGUGCGUAACGCGUGGGAACCUGCCCUUAGGUUCGGAAUAACUCCCCGAAAGGGGUGCUAAUACCGGAUAAUGUCUUCGGACCAAAGAUUUAUCGCCUUUGGAUGGGCCCGCGUUGGAUUAGCUAGUUGAUAGGGUAAAAGCCUACCAAGGCGACGAUCCAUAGCUGGUCUGAGAGGAUGAUCAGCCACACUGGGACUGAGACACGGCCCAGACUCCUACGGGAGGCAGCAGUGGGGAAUAUUGGACAAUGGGCGAAAGCCUGAUCCAGAAAUGCCGCGUGAGUGAUGAAGGCCUUAGGGUUGUAAAGCUCUUUUACCCGGGAUGAUAAUGACAGUACCGGGAGAAUAAGCUCCGGCUAACUCCGUG
rnacentral:rRNA from 1 species